rnacentral:rRNA from 1 species
AGCGAACGCUGGCGGCAGGCUUAACACAUGCAAGUCGAACGCAUCACUUCGGUGGUGAGUGGCAGACGGGUGAGUAACACGUGGGAACGUACCCUUCGAUCUGGGAUAACUUCGGGAAACUGGAGCUAAUACCGGAUACGCCCUUUUGGGGAAAGGUUUACUGUCGAAGGAUCGGCCCGCGUCUGAUUAGCUAGUUGGUGGGGUAACGGCCUACCAAGGCGACGAUCAGUAGCUGGUCUGAGAGGAUGAUCAGCCACACUGGGACUGAGACACGGCCCAGACUCCUACGGGAGGCAGCAGUGGGGAAUAUUGGACAAUGGGCGCGAGCCUGAUCCAGCCAUGCCGCGUGAGUGAUGAAGGCCUUAGGGUUGUAAAGCUCUUUUGUCCGGGACGAUAAUGACGGUACCGGAAGAAUAAGCCCCGGCUAACUUCGUG